GACGAACGCUGGCGGCGUGCUUAACACAUGCAAGUCGAGCGGUAAGGCCCUUUCGGGGGUACACGAGCGGCGAACGGGUGAGUAACACGUGGGUGACCUGCCCUUAGCUCUGGGAUAAGCCUGGGAAACUGGGUCUAAUACCGGAUAUGACCUCAUGACGCAUGUUGUGGGGUGGAAAGCCUUGUGCGGCUAGGGGAUGGGGCCCGCGGCCUAUCAGCUUGUUGGUGGGGUGAUGGCCUACCAAGGCGACGACGGGUAGCCGGCCUGAGAGGGCGACCGGCCACACUGGGGACUGAGACACGGCCCAGACUCCUACGGGAGGCAGCAGUGGGGAAUCUUGCGCAAUGGGCGAAAGCCUGACGCAGCGACGCCGCGUGAGGGAUGACGGCCU
rnacentral:rRNA from 1 species